rnacentral:rRNA from 1 species
UACGUAGGGUGCAAGCGUUAAUCGGAAUUACUGGGCGUAAAGCGUGCGCAGGCGGUUAUGUAAGACAGUUGUGAAAUCCCCGGGCUCAACCUGGGAACUGCAUCUGUGACUGCAUAGCUAGAGUACGGUAGAGGGGGAUGGAAUUCCGCGUGUAGCAGUGAAAUGCGUAGAGAUGUGGAGGAAUACCGAUGGCGAAGGCAGCCCCCUGGGAUAACACUGACGCUCAUGGCACGAAAGCGUGGGGAGCAAACAGG